rnacentral:rRNA from 1 species
AUGGACUCCGUGAGGCACACAGUCUUGACUAAGGACUAUGCUAAACUAAUAGACGACACAUGCAAGAGCGAUGAGAUGGCCAGAGUAGCAGAUAAACACAAAAAUGCCCUAAAAAGAGAGCUUUAUGGGGUCAAACAAAGGAUGGCCGAGGAGGUCUUACAUAGAUUCUCACGCAGUUCUAGUGCGCCUACGUCCACAAGGCCAUCCUCUAAAAACUCAGAAUUAGGGUCUAGAGCAUCAAACACACAAACACAAGUCAGGAACCCACCACGCUCCGUCACCAAAGGGCGCCCAAAGGAGGUGAGAUAA